UCUCAUUUCAUCAGUCCAUAAAACCUUAGAAAAAUCAGUCUUGAGAUAUUUCUUGGCCCAGUCUUGACGUUUCAGCUGGUGUGUCUUGUUCAGUGGUGGUCGUCUUUCAGCCUUUCUUACCUUGGCCAUGUCUCUGAGUAUUGCACACCUUGUGCUUUUGGGCACUCCAGUGAUGUUGCAGCUCUGAAAUAUGGCCAAACUGGUGG
rnacentral:lncRNA from 1 species